rnacentral:lncRNA from 1 species
GUGAGCGCAAAUACACCCUCCCUUCUUUAAGAUUUCUUUAAAAUAAAGUGUGUGUGUGUGUGUGUGUGUGUGUGUGUGUGUGUGUGUGUGUGUGUGUGUGUGUGUGACCCUCUGGAGCUGCUGGCGUGCUUGUGAGCCAUGUGGCAUGGGUGCCCGAAUUGAAUUCAUUUUCUCUGGCGCGGUAGGUGCUCUUAGCCACUGAGCCCUCAGCCCCUAAGUUGCUUGUUGUCAGUGUGUUUGGUCACAACAGUAGGGUAUCUAGUACAAGGGCUUCCUGAAAUUCAGUUGCAGAUAAAAAACUGACUUUGCCAGUUCUGCCAGCUGUUGGUCUUCAGUCAGGGAGGCCAAAUGAAGCACAGAAGUAAGCAAUUAUAUGUGAACUCUCAGCUAAGCGUUUAAACAUAGGCUUCCUCGUGCAAUAUUUAGUCAUUGUUAACUGCAGCAUGUCAUGUACCUUUAAUUGCUGAAUCUGAAUGUGAGUCUCAGAAUAUUUCUCCUAAAGCAUACUUUUACCUUUUUUUUCCCCUGACAACCCUAACCUCCUCCACUGGCUGUCCCUGCCCCCUCCACUGGCUGUCCCUGCCCCCUCCACUGGCUGUCCCUGCCCCCUCCACUGGCUGUCCCUGCCCCUCCACUGGCUAUCCCUACCCCAAUGAACUUUCCAGGCCCCAGCUCCUUUUCUCCCCAUCCUCUGAACCCUGUACCCCUUUCUCAUAACUUCCUACAUAAGCUAGCGAGUGACUGCCACUCUUUUUGGAAAACUUUCUGUUUCUGUUUUGUUUUAAGAUAAGGUCUCCUGUUACCACACUGGCCUGAAACUUUCUAGGUGAAGGAAGAUGACUUUGAACUCCUAAUCUUGCCAUCUCCUCUGUGCCUGGCUUUAUUGGAUUAGUAAAAAGUAUACAGUUUUCUCUCUCUCUCUCUCUCUCUCUCUCUCUCUCUCUCUCUCUCUCUGUGUGUGUGUGUGUGUGCACGUGUACACAUGUGCACGUGGGUGCGAGCAUGUGUGCACAUGUGUGUGAGAAUGUGUGCGUGUGUGUGUGUGUGUAUGUGAGAGAGAGAGAGAGAGACAGAGGCAGGAAUGGAACACAGGGGAAGGCCCGUGCAUCCUGAGCAAGUUCCCCGCUCUCCUACUUAGAAAUGUACCCUGCCCCCUUGCUUUUGCUUUCUUGGCCACCCCCACCCUUCAGGAAGCAUCCUCAUGUUUUAUAUCAUGCCUCCUUUGAGAUAACUGCAAAGGAGUUAUGGAAUCCACUUCACAAAACAGGAAAUAGAGCCGGGCGUUGGUGGCGCACGCCUUUAAUCCAGCACUCGGGAGGCAGAGGCAGGCGGAUCUCUGUGAGUUUGAGACCAGCCUGGUCUACAAGAGCUAGUUCCAGGACAGCCUCCAAAGCCACAGAGGAACUCUGUCUCGAAAAAACAAAAAAACAAACAAAAAAAAAAGGAAAUAGAGACUGAGAUUUGGUACCCAGAACUAAAAUUUGAACUUAAAAUAGAGGAUGCAGAGCCUUUCAUAUUUAGUAAAAAUAAAACAUGUACUGUGGACCUCAGCCACACAGGCUUCAGGUUUCUCUACCCUUUCUGGUAAACAGCAGCUUACACAGGCUCAUGAGAGCUGCCUUCCUUCCUACCAGGGUACAUAAGUAUAUCUAAUCUAUAAUCUUGUCUUUGCCAGAAGUGUCACUUGGGGACAGGACUGUACUUCCCAUGAGAAGCCACUUAGUCUGGCCAGACAGACAGUCACAUCACAUCCGGCAGGACUGCCCAGCUGUGGUUUGGGGUGGUGUAGGCUGUCUGUGGUUCAAGGUCUCAGAGAGCACAAGAUGAAAAGCAGCCAGAGGGGUUUCAGGACAGGACAGAACUGCCACGUGAGAGGGAGCCUUCCCGUUCCAUCAACAGCCGCCUGAGAUGCACCUUGUGGUUUUGUUCAUGCAACAAGAAGAUUCUCCUGUCACCUUCAUGGAAUGCUUUCCUGGAUUGGGAAGAGAUUUUAUUGUUAAUUCUACCCGUCCACAAUACUCUGGUUUUAUUCAGCAAACCGCAGGCCUUAGGACAUUCAGCAGUGCUUCUGUGGCAUCACUAGAAACCAAGGUUUGAGAAGCCACCUCGUGUCAUGCAGAAGUCCAGGGUGAAGGAUUCUGUCACAAAGACGGGACAUUCAUGUGAGGGGGUUCCUAUGACAACCAAACUUUCCAGGAGGAAGUGUCAGAAGGCAGAACAACUACAGAGCGAUGGAAAGCUCAAGCUCACAUUGGCCUCAUUAGGAAAAAGCCCAAUCCCAGCUCAUCACGUCUCACAGCAAUGCAGUAAAUAGCUACGGAGAGGAGUGUGCGACAGAAGAGUUUGUGAACUUUCCCACCUUAGAAAGAGAGAGGGAAAUGUUUGAAGAUACCGAAUGUUUCAAAGUGGAGGAAGGAGCUGGCGGCCCAGAGAGGCUAAGACAGGCGACUGGCAGCCAACACCUGGUCGGUCACAGCUAGCCACGAGGGAAUGGGCAAGCUGAGUCAUUUAACUGGGGAUUCUGUCCAGGCGAAGUCAUGCUAGAGUCACCCCAAAAGUGGUGACAAGAGAGUGCCUCAGAAUAUCCUGACGGGGUCAAUGGUUACUCCCAAGAAAAGAGCAGGUGCUCCCGGCUCCUAGCCAACCCGCUGCACCACACAAGCGCAUUCCCGCUGCAGCUGAGCUCCUCAGAAUCAUCCGCCCAGCUUGGAGACAGUUUCUAGCUGCCUAGAGUCGAGUAGGCCUCAGCUUUCAGCAGCAGCUUCCCCUGGCUGCUGCUGCAGGAAAGCCGAAUCUCUUUGAGUGGUUGCAGCCGUAAAGCUGUAUACUCUUUAAGAUAAGCGCAACCGCUUUUGUGACCUCUCUCCACUGCUGCCACUGACCACUGCCAAACGCAGCACUGAGUAGCUGAACGCCUGGGCCACCUGCUGAUCAAAGAUAGUUACUGCAUCUGGAGCAGAAUUCAGGUAAAAUUAUGGUGGGAUAUUUAUCAUUUGCUAAAAUUGGCGAUAUUUUUGCUUAUUACGUGAAUUCAAUGUUUGAAGAGGAUGCUAAUUUGCCAAUUACUGGCCUAUAUGCCGUAAUGGCAGAUAGCUUGCUGGUACAAAUAAUAUUACUAGCCAGAGGACUCAGGAAUAGGGAUAAGGAUAACCUCACCACAUACUUACAGGAAAUAACAGCUUUACACAAUGAGGUUUUGGAGAACAGAUUAGGUCAGACCACAAUUGUGCAGCAAGUGGAACAGAAAUUGGAUGAUAAGCUUGGCUCUGUGUCCAAUACCCUAAAGACAGAGGUGUCUGUUACCCAAGAUGAGAUACAGCGUAUUUAUGAUAAGAUAAACACAGAGAGAUCCUCCAUGUCUGAGGCCUUAGAGGCUAGGCUGUCAGAAGACCAUGACGAGCAAAAGAAUAUCUGUAGCCAGCUAGAAACUCAGAUAGGCAAUGUUACCCAGAAACUAGAUGCAAAGGUGCAAGAUACCCAGGAUAGGGUUGAAGAAUUGGACGAUGUCAUUCAAUCAAUUAUUGAAACAUCUAAGGUAGCAGAUCACAAAUUUGAGUCUAGAUUCAAAUGUUUGGAAGAUAAUUUACAGUACAGGGCUGACAGAUUACAUAGGUCCAUACGGUCGAUUGCUGAGGACUCAAAAUCAGCAAAUCAUGACUUGGAAUCUAGACUCCAAUACCUAGAAGGCAGUUUCCAUACCAUCCAGAUGCUGCCUAAGGAUGACCUAUUAAAGACCUAGAAAACGUGUAGAGGAGCAGUUAGAGCAAUUUACAGAUUCACUAACAUGCUUGGAAUCUUUUAUAAUUAAGGAGAUUGAAACUUUUCAUAAGGAUAUCAUUAGUAGGCUUAAAGAUCAUUGGGAUGCCUAGGAGGCAGAAUCACUCCAAUCCCAGGCACCUACUCCACCCAGGUAUCAUGACUAUUCCUCUAAGGUUGUUACUCACACACCAUUAGUGUACCCAGCUACCAUGGUAGAAAAGCCAGCUUCUAAGAAAAACCCUCAUGGAUGGAUGGCUUAUGAAUGUCAACCUAUACAGCUGAAGGAUCUUAAGAAUAUUAAAGAAUCAGUUGUCUCAUAUGGUCUCCAUAGCCCAUACGUAAAACAGCUAUUACAUUCAUGGGCAACCUUUAACAGGGUGACACCCACAGAUUGGGAACGAUUGGUAGCAGCUGUACUUGAGAAUUCAUGCCAAAUCCAGUGGAAGACAUUGGUGAGGGAAGAGGAGAAGCUCCUUGAGUGUCAGGGCAUAAAGGAAGGUUUUGAAGCCCCUCUAGAUAAGCUUCUUGGUCAGGGUAUUUAUGCUAACCCAGAGGCUCAGGCUGAAUAUGAUGAUGAUAUACUGUCUCUGUGCAGGAAAGCAGCAUUAAUGCCUUGGAUAAGGUUCGUGAGCCAGGAGAACGCCUAGAAGCUUAUACCAGAAUAGAACAGGGACCUACAGAACAGUUCCAGGACUUCUUACAAAGGUUAACUAGGGCAGUAGAAUUACAGGUAACAAAUCCAGAAACAAGACAAUCAAUUACAUAUACAAUAGCUUAUGAGAAUGCAAACCCAAUAUGCAAAAGAAUACUUUUGCCUUUAAAGAUCAGAUCAGCUCCGCUAGAAGAAUGGGUUUUGUAUGCAGCCAACAUUGACUAUCAUGUGCAAGACACUGGAGCUUGGGGAGGAGAAAAGGUAGCUAUAACCAUCAGACAAAAGGAACAUGCCAUAUGGUAAACCUUACAGCUGUCUCUCAGAGAACUCUAUUUCUCUUUAUUUUUCUAGUCCCUAUUCAAUUAAACCAUUGCUGGAUUUAGAGGUGGAUUUAGCUUUCCUCCUCUAAAAUCCAAGCACGUUAUUUAACUAAACUGUAGAGUUUCUGUAUUGUAUUAAGAAACCAAUUGAUGUAAUAUAGAAUAAAAGAAGAAUUUGGGGACUGUCUUUGUCUUUUCUUGGAUCUUUCUUUCAAGGUGUACACCCUCUCAUAAUCGUUAUUCUCCCAUGGUUGCCUUUCCCAUUAUACACAAGCAAACAUUUCUCUGCUAACUGUUUAUGUUUGAGUCCCACACAGCCAAUGAAGACCUGCCUGACAGCAAUCCCUGGACACCCUGGAAAGAAAAUGGGCCACACCUCCUCGACUGCACUGGAUCCAACUUGCUCCAUUUCAACUGACACUCACACCAGAGCUUCGGGUACUGACUUCAAUCAAGUUGAGGAUUUCAAGCGAGAUCUUCUAUCAAGAGAAUCCCAUCUAACAUGGACUGGAUACAAUCCAUUCAAGACUUUCACUAUACUAAUAUUUUCUUCCUACAGGACCCCACAUGACUAUCAUCAUCUCAUUUCAGCAGGAAGUAACUUGGAGGAUGCUAUGCCCCCUUUCCCCAUUGUUGUCACUUAGGAUAGUGUAUAUACCUAGUUAGGAUAGCUUCCUAUUGUUUAUGGUUGGGAUUGGAAGGAGGUGUUCAGGCUUGGACACUUCUUUCAGAUGACUUUAGGGUUUAGUUAAAAUAGUUAGGAUGUGACAUAAGCAGAUUGUUGUAUCUUCUUAUAUUUCACAUUUAUGAUUGUUAAUUUUGGAUGCUUUACACUGUUAAGUUUUAAUCCUCUUUUAGACUAAAAGGGGAAUUGUAGGGGAACCUGUAGCCAUGCCUGCUUAGGGGCUGGCUACAGGUCUGCCUGACCACACCUUCGAGGUCAAGGUGAUGUAGAGUAAGAGUUUCAAUUGGCUGGGUUUCGCUUUCAGUUUUCACCCUUUUGGCUUGCUGUACAGACUGCUGCCAUGCCAGCUGGCUAGGUCGCUCUGUAAGUAAGGCUUUUCCCUAUUAAAUACCCUUAUAUUUCUA